AGAAUAGAUGGUGAUGGAGUUCACCUUUAACCGCAUAAAGCUAAUGACUCCUACAAAAAU
rnacentral:ncRNA from 2 species